rnacentral:rRNA from 1 species
GGUUAAGCGACUAAGCGUACACGGUGGAUGCCUAGGCAAUCAGAGGCGAUGAAGGACGUGCUAAUCUGCGAUAAGCGUCGGUAAGGUGAUAUGAACCGUUACAACCGACGAUUUCCGAAUGGGGAAACCCAGUGCAAUUCGUUGCACUAUCGUUUGAUGAAUACAUAGUCAAACGAAGCGAACCGGGGGAACUGAAACAUCUCAGUACCCCGAGGAAAAGAAAUCAACCGAGAUUCCCCUAGUAGCGGCGAGCGAACGGGGAGCAGCCCAGAGUCUUAAUCAGCAUUAGCAUCAGGAGAACGG